UACGUAGGGAGCAAGCGUUGUCCGGAAUCAUUGGGCGUAAAGCGCGCGUAGGUGGCCAUGUAAGUCCGCUGUGAAAGUCAAAGGCUCAACCUUUGAAAGCCGGUGGGUACUGCAUGGCUAGAGUACGGAAGAGGCGAGUGGAAUUCCUGGUGUAGCGGUGGAAUGCGCAGAUAUCAGGAGGAACACCAAUAGCGAAGGCAGCUCGCUGGGACGUCACUGACACUGAGGCGCGAAAGCGUGGGGAGCGAACAGG
rnacentral:rRNA from 1 species